CUGUGACGGACCGCCUGGCACCCAGACUGGGUACCUUCGUCAAUCGCUGCUUCCUAGUACUUGCGAGCAACAUGAGCACUGCACUUGAACACCAUAACCACUGAAAACACAACAAACUGCGGCAGCUUGGUUGGGGUCUUGCUGUCCUCCACCCACCCUGAACCCAAGACCAGCUUCCAGUGAGUAGACCUUUCCUAGUCCAGAG